AGUGAACGCUGGCGGUAGGCCUAACACAUGCAAGUCGAACGGCAGCACAGGAGAGCUUGCUCUCUGGGUGGCGAGUGGCGGACGGGUGAGGAAUACAUCGGAAUCUACUCUGUCGUGGGGGAUAACGUAGGGAAACUUACGCUAACACCGCAUACGACCUACGGGUGAAAGCAGGGGAUCCUCGGACCUUGCGCGAUUGAAUGAGCCGAUGUCGGAUUAGCUAGUUGGCGGGGUAAAGGCCCACCAAGGCGACGAUCCGUAGCUGGUCUGAGAGGAUGAUCAGCCACACUGGAACUGAGACACGGUCCAGACUCCUACGGGAGGCAGCAGUGGGGAAUAUUGGACAAUGGGCGCAAGCCUGAUCCAGCCAUACCGCGUGGGUGAAGAAGGCCUUCGGGUUGUAAAGCCCUUUUGUUGGGAAAGAAAUCCAGCUGGUUAAUACCCGGUUGGGAUGACGGUACCCAAAGAAUAAGCACCGGCUAACUUCGUGCCAGCAGCCGCGGUAA
rnacentral:rRNA from 1 species